rnacentral:rRNA from 1 species
AUUGAACGCUGGCGGCAGGCCUAACACAUGCAAGUCGAGCGGAUGAAGGGAGCUUGCUCCUGGAUUCAGCGGCGGACGGGUGAGUAAUGCCUAGGAAUCUGCCUGGUAGUGGGGGAUAACGUCCGGGAACGGGCGCUAAUACCGCAUACGUCCUGAGGGAGAAAGUGGGGGAUCUUCGGACCUCACGCUAUCAGAUGAGCCUAGGUCGGAUUAGCUAGUUGGUGGGGUAAAGGCCUACCAAGGCGACGAUCCGUAACUGGUCUGAGAGGAUGAUCAGUCACACUGGAACUGAGACACGGUCCAGACUCCUACGGGAGGCAGCAGUGGGGAAUAUUGGACGAUGGGCGAAAGCCUGAUCCAGCCAUGCCGCGUGUGUGAAGAAGGUCUUCGGAUUGUAAAGCACUUUAAGUUGGGAGGAAGGGCAGUAAGUUAAUACCUUGCUGUUUUGACGUUACCAACAGAAUAAGCACCGGCUAACUUCGUG